GUAGGUGAACCUGCGGAAGGAUCAUUCAUAAUAAGUGUUUUAUGGCACUUUUUUAAAUCCAUAUCCACCUUGUGUGCAAUGUCAGGGUUGAUUUUUCUCUCGAGAGGAUCAGCCCCAAACAUCAACUAUAUCUCAACUCUUUGUCUGAAAAAUAUUAUGAAUAAAACAAUUCAAAAUACAACUAUCAACAACGGAUCUCUUGGCUCUC
rnacentral:misc_RNA from 1 species